rnacentral:rRNA from 1 species
CUACGGGGGGCAGCAGUGGGGAAUAUUGCACAAUGGGCGCAAGCCUGAUGCAGCAACGCCGCGUGAACGAUGAAGGCCUUCGGGUUGUAAAGUUCUUUUCUUAGGGAAGAAUAAAUGACGGUACCUAAGGAAUCAGCCCCGGCUAACUACGUGCCAGCAGCCGCGGUAAUACGUAGGGGGCAAGCGUUAUCCGGAAUCACUGGGCGUAAAGGGAGUGUAGGCGGUCAAGCAAGUCAGGGGUGAAAGGCAUCGGCUCAACCGAUGUAAGCCUUUGAAACUGUUUGACUUGAGUGCAGGAGAGGUAAGUGGAAUUCCUAGUGUAGCGGUGAAAUGCGUAGAUAUUAGGAGGAACACCAGUGGCGAAGGCGACUUACUGGACUGUAACUGACGCUGAGGCUCGAAAGCGUGGGGAGCGAACAGGAUUAGAUACCCGCGUAGUC